UACGAAGGGGGCUAGCGUUGCUCGGAAUCACUGGGCGUAAAGGGUGCGUAGGCGGGUCUUUAAGUCAGGGGUGAAAUCCUGGAGCUCAACUCCAGAACUGCCUUUGAUACUGGCGAUCUUGAGUCCGGGAGAGGUGAGUGGAACUGCGAGUGUAGAGGUGAAAUUCGUAGAUAUUCGCAAGAACACCAGUGGCGAAGGCGGCUCACUGGCCCGGUACUGACGCUGAGGCGCGAAAGCGUGGGGAGCAAACAGG
rnacentral:rRNA from 1 species